rnacentral:rRNA from 1 species
ACGAACGUUGGCGGCAUGGAUGAGGCAUGCAAGUCGCGGGAAUCCCCAGCAAUGGGGGGAACCGGCGUAAGGGGCAGUAAGGCGUAGGUACCUACCCCGUGGUCCGGGAUAGCCCGCCGAGAGGCGGGGUAAUACCGGAUGACCUCGGGAGAGCAAAGCUCCGGCGCCAUGGGCGGGGCCUACGUGAUAUUAGCUAGUUGGCGGGGUGACGGCCCACCAAGGCGGAGAUGUCUAGCGGGUGUGAGAGCACGACCCGCGCCACUCGCACUGAGACACUGGCGAGACACCUACGGGUGGCUGCAGUCGAGGAUCUUCGGCAAUGGGGGCAACCCUGACCGAGCGAUGCCGCGUGGGCGACGAAGGCCUUCGGGUUGUAAAGCCCUGUCGAGGGGGAGAAAGCCGGUGUCACAGCCGGCGGAUCCAUCCCUGGAGGAAGCUCGGGCUAAGUUCGU